rnacentral:rRNA from 1 species
GACGAACGCUGGCGGCGUGCUUAACACAUGCAAGUCGAACGAUGAAGCGGGUGCUUGCACUCGUGGAUUAGUGGCGAACGGGCGAGUAACACGUGAGUAACCUGUCCUUUUCUUUGGGAUAACGGCUGGAAACGGCUGCUAAUACUGGAUAUUCAGGCUGCAUCGCAUGGUGUGGUUUGGAAAGGUUUUUUCUGGGAUUGGGUGGGCUCGCGGCCUAUCAGCUUGUUGGUGGGGUGAUGGCUUACCAAGGCUUUGACGGGUAGCCGGCCUGAGAGGGUGGUUGGUCGCACUGGGACUGAGAUACGGCCCAGACUCCUACGGGAGGCAGCAGUGGGGAAUAUUGCACAAUGGACGAAAGUUUGAUGCAGCGACGCCGCGUGGAGGGUGUAGGCCUUCGGGUUGUGAACUCCUUUUUCUCGCGAAAAAGGCACAGUUUUGGCUGUGUUGAUGGUAGUGGGGGAAGAAGCGCCGGCUAACUACGUG